rnacentral:rRNA from 1 species
GACGGAGGUCCCGAGCGUUGUUCGGAAUUAUUGGGCUUAAAGCGCGUGUAGGCGGAACGGUAAGUACCUUGUGAAAUCCCCGGACUCAAUCCGGGAACUGCUCGGUAUACUGCCGAUCUUGAGGCAGGUAGGGGUCACUGGAACCUUAGGUGGAGCGGUGAAAUGCGUAGAUAUCUAAGGGAACGCCUGUGGCGAAAGCGGGUGACUGGGCCUGUCCUGACGCUGAGACGCGAAAGCGUAGGGAGCAAACGGG